AUGGCGUUCAGAGGCUACUGCCACCCUCACCCUUCUUCCUCCAUGGCCACCACCGGCCCGAGAUUCGGCGCAAGGAGGCCGGCAGCAGCCUUGAGCUUCAGAACCUCUGCAGCCCAUGGAUGUAACCAACCAUCCUCGCACCUCUCCUUUGCUGCACCAACCAGCAACAAGGUGUUCGAGGACCAGGUGAGAGGGAUCGUGUGCUACAGGGACGACAAGGGGGAGGUCGUCUGCGAGGGCUACGACGAGGGCCCGAGGCUCGGAAUGCGGCUGCCGGAGAAGGCCUGCUUCCCAUGGCCUGUGGGAGUUCAGGUCACCGAUUUCAUCCGCCUUGCGACGCUUCGGGUCUUCGAGGACGGCGCCGACGACGGUCUUCUG
rnacentral:rRNA from 1 species